rnacentral:rRNA from 1 species
CAAGGUUUCCGUAGGUGAACCUGCGGAAGGAUCAUUACCGAGUUCUCGGGCUUCGGCUCGAAUCUCCCACCCUUUGUGAACAUACCUCUGUUGCUUUGGCGGCUCUUUGCCGCGAGGAGGCCCUCGCGGGCCCCCCCGCGCGCUUUCCGCCAGAGGACCUUCAAACUCCAGUCAGUAAACGUCGACGUCUGAUAAACAAGUUAAUAAACUAAAACUUUCAACAACGGAUCUCUUGGUUCUGGCAUCGAUGAAGAACGCAGCGAAAUGCGAUAAGUAAUGUGAAUUGCAGAAUUCAGUGAAUCAUCGAAUCUUUGAACGCACAUUGCGCCCCCUGGCAUUCCGGGGGGCAUGCCUGUUCGAGCGUCAUUACAACCCUCAAGCUCUGCUUGGUAUUGGGCGCCGUCCUCUCUGCGGACGCGCCUUAAAGACCUCGGCGGUGGCUGUUCAGCCCUCAAGCGUAGUAGAAUACACCUCGCUUUGGAGCGGUUGGCGUCGCCCGCCGGACGAACCUUCUGAACUUUUCUCAAGGUUGACCUCGGAUCAGGUAGGGAUACCCGCUG